CCUCUGUCCCAUAUUAAGUUUAUUUUUCAGUUUUGACUCUUCGUCUUAUUUGAAAUUUUUUUACGAUUAAUUUUUUUAUUGAUACUACAUGGUAAAACAUGAAUAAUACUUUAUGCGUGACUAAUUUUUAAAGUUUUGUACAAAUUUUUCAAAUAAGACGAAUGAUCAAAGCACACAGAAAUUGAAAAAUAAAGUUAUU
rnacentral:pre_miRNA from 1 species